ACGGGAGGCAGCAGUGGGGAAUAUUGGGCAAUGGGCGAAAGCCUGACCCAGCGACGCCGCGUGAGGGAAGAAGAUCUUCGGAUUGUAAACCUUAGUCAACAGGGAAGAAGAAAGUGACGGUACCUGUGGAGGAAGCCACGGCUAACUACGUGCCAGCAGCCGCGGUAAUACGUAGGUGGCGAGCGUUAUCCGGAUUUACUGGGUGUAAAGGGUGUGCAGGCGGGUCUGCAAGUCAGAUGUGAAAAUUAUGGGCUUAACUCAUAACUUGCAUUUGAAACUGCAGAUCUUGAGUGUCGGAGAGGUAGAUGGAAUUCCCAGUGUAGCGGUGAAAUGCGUAGAUAUUGGGAGGAACACCAGUGGCGAAGGCGGUCUACUGGACGAUUACUGACGCUGAGACACGAAAGUGUGGGGAGCAAACAGGAUUAGAUACCCUGGUA
rnacentral:rRNA from 1 species